AAAAUGUGAAAAGGAGAGACUGGCCUAGGCUCCCAGCCUACAUUUUUCUCCUGUGCAGGAUGCUUCCUGCUCUCAAACAUCAGACUGCAAAUUCUUCAGUCUGGAGACUCAGACUGGCUCUCCUGCUCCUCAAGCUUGCAGAUGGCCUAUUGUGGGACCUUGUGGUCAUAAGUACAGCUCCCAACAGAGUAAUGCUGGCCCUGCACUUUGAAAUGAUAAUCACCGCCUAUGGAACUGACACAAUUGAACUUACAAUGAAUUCCAGGCUCCCUUGGCCUGAGAGCCACUCUUUCUAACUCCUUUGUUGCUCAAACGUGGCCAAAGGGGUCUUGACUUUUGGGGUCUGACUCCCAGCUGCACUUCCCAACUACAUGGGACCAGACUAGCUGGGAAAGGUCCAACCCAACCACAAGGAACAAUCAGAAUCUAAUCAUGGGACAAUUGAGCACGGAUGCUUUUGGAGGCAGACCUUGAUAAAAAGAAGGAAAUGUAAACACUGUCAACAUCAUACACUGGAGCCAGUAUGUCAACUGGAACAAAGUAAGCCAGGAGGUUAAGAAGAAAGGGGCUUCACCCACACCCGCCUGUGAUAAGAACGAGUACAGAGGCUCCCUGAAGGGUUCUUCCCUAAAACUGCCUGUAACAAGAACAUUUCCCAAGGACUUUCCAACCUGCAGCUUGCUAUAGGAGUCAUGAGGACAGCUGGCCAGAUGCACAAUAACCCCUGCCCGACAUGCCGUCUCCACCAACGAACUCAUGUCAACUCCUGCGCUAAGACCCUGUAACCAGUGUUCUCUGCUUCAAAACCAACUUACGUGCAUGCCUCCUCUUGCCUUUGAAAGCUUUCCAACGCUUCAGUUUCCGUUGAUAUGCCUGUGUUGACACAGCCUGCAUAUCCCAGAUUGCAAUCUCAUUGCUGAGUAAACUUAAUAUAUUUGCAGAAUUUCUCCCUGUUUGUUAUUUAGAUUGACACCUCACAUUUUUAGAUGCAAAAUUUCUACCAGAAAAUGACUUUGACCUCUGAAGGAACUAAGCUUUAGAGAAGCUACAGAUUUUGCCCACAAUUUCACCAUGAGUCGGGGGCUGGGAAGG
rnacentral:lncRNA from 13 species